UUUCCUGAUAGUUCUUCCAACUGAUUAGUAUUUUCAGUUGGAAGAACUAUCAGCUGCAU
rnacentral:precursor_RNA from 1 species